UUUGGCAUAAGCAGGAUUUAGCACUGAAUGAAAUGAAAAAAGAAAUCAUUCCAUUUCAGGCAGAGGGUAAAGUGCUUCUUUGUGGAGAUUUCAAUGCGAGAACAGGUUCUGGGCUGGACUACACUGAUGCGGGAGGAGAACGAUCGCCUUACGGCAAGGAUAGCUGUGCUGCA